ACGGCUCAGUAACACGUGGACAAUCUACCCUAAGGUGGGGGAUAACCCCGGGAAACUGGGGAUAAUACCCCAUAGACUAUGGAAGCUGGAAUGCUCUGUAGUUCAAAGGUCAGCCGCCUUAGGAUGGGUCUGCGGCCGAUUAGGUUGUUGUUGGGGUAACGGCCCAACAAGCCUGUAAUCGGUACGGGUUGUGGGAGCAAGAGCCCGGAGAUGGAUUCUGAGACACGAAUCCAGGCCCUACGGGGCGCAGCAGGCGCGAAAACUUUACAAUGCGGGAAACCGUGAUAAGGGAACUCCGAGUGCCCGUUAAAUCGGGCUGUCCAUCAGUUUAAAAAACUGGUGAAGAAAGGGCCGGGCAAGACCGGUGCCAGCCGCCGCGGUAAUACCGGCGGCUCGAGUGGUGGCCACUAUUACUGGGCUUAAAGCGUUCGUAGCUGGUUUGUUAAGUCUCUGGGGAAAUCUUCCGGCUUAACCGGAAGGCGUCUCAGGGAUACUGGCAGACUAGGGACCGGAAGAGGUGAGGGGUACUCCAGGGGUAGGAGUGAAAUCCUGUAAUCCUUGGGGGACCACCUGUGGCGAAGGCGCCUCACCAGAACGGCUCCGACAGUGAGGGACGAAAGCUGGGGGAGCAAACCGGAUUAGAUACCCGGGUAGUCCCAGCCGUAAACGAUGUGCGUUAGGUGUAUCGGUGACCACGAGUCACCGAGGUGCCGAAGAGAAAUCGUGAAACGUACCGCCUGGGAAGUACGGUCGCAAGGCUGAAACUUAAAGGAAUUGGCGGGGGAGCAC
rnacentral:rRNA from 1 species